ACGGGAGGCAGCAGUGGGGAAUAUUGGGCAAUGGAGGCAACCCUGACCCAGCAACGCCGCGUGAAGGAAGAAGGCUUUCGGGUUGUAAACUUCUUUGACGAGGGACGAUAAUGACGGUACCUCGAAAACAAGCCACGGCUAACUACGUGCCAGCAGCCGCGGUAAUACGUAGGGAGCAAGCGUUAUCCGGAAUUACUGGGUGUAAAGGGAGUGUAGGCGGGACUGUAAGUCAGAUGUGAAAUAUACCGGCUCAACUGGUAGACUGCAUUUGAAACUGCGGUUCUUGAGUGAAGUAGAGGUAAGCGGAAUUCCUAGUGUAGCGGUGAAAUGCGUAGAUAUUAGGAGGAACAUCAGUGGCGAAGGCGGCUUACUGGGCUUUAACUGACGCUGAGGCACGAAAGCGUGGGGAGCAAACAGGAUUAGAUACCCUGGUA
rnacentral:rRNA from 1 species